CAUCAUUAAUAUUUCAUGGCUAUGAGAAUCUCUAAUACAGGACAACUGACACAUUGCUAGCCAGAAAGGCAUGCAAGGUACUUCCUUGGCUGUGACUUCAUAGAAUCAUAGCAUGGUUUGGGUUGGAAGGGAUCCCAAGGACCAUCAAGUUCCAGCCCCUCUGUCUCAGGCAGUGCCACCAACCUCCAGAUCUGCUACUAGGACAGGUUCCUUCUGCUUGAUAUUCAGUGGUAAGGUCAGCUUUCAGGUGUUCGGCGCUCUUGAACUGUUUGAGAAAGCCUGAUCAAAAGACGUGGAUCAAGUUAAAGAACAUUUGGAAAAAAAUGGGAGAUGAACAAGUUCAUGGGACCUUUUCGGAUGCAUCCAUGCCUUCCAACAGAAAUAAUUCCUUGA